AUAAAAACAUAAGCCGGCAGGAUACGUUUCUCUAAGUGACCGAUAGAUGGUAUCUGCUUGCAGCUUGUGUGAGUCCAUUAUAACAACAGGAGAGGAAGCCUUUCGAUACGCGCAAAAAAGUUAGCAUUACUACCGAAAGUACUGCUCUGAUUCUUUCUAUAGUUAAUGCUGAAUGCAUUUCUGGAGUAAAAGUACACGCUGCAUUCAAAUGAAAAUCAUUUACUUUUAAAAUAAAAGAUAUAUUCUUCAUGUUGACGGAGAUUUUGCCCCCUUCGUGGAAAUGGUCCUUCCCAGGUGACGUACGUGAGGUGCUUACUGAGAGAGCCCAUCUUUUUUUUUUUUAUAUAUAUUGCCAUUGAUAAGGGGAGCACUCAUUGCAUAUUACAAUUAUGUGUAGAAGGAAGAGUCAUACAGAAGUAACUAACUGCAAGUAAGACUGACCGUUCAAUAUGUUCUAUGUCAAGACGUUUGGAAGUGUGAGACGGUGUUCAUAUAUAGAUUUAAUCAAGGUCUUUCCACCUCUGUUACUAACAAAACACAAAAGAGGACGAGAAACUUUAGAGUGGGUUUGUUUACUUAUUUGUUCUUUCGUGAUGAUGGUCUUUCUUGCACCUGACGUUAAAAAAACUCCCAACCGAGAAAUGGAGCCCAUUCAUACGUUAAAUGUAUAGAUGCGUAAGGAAUCAACGAAUCCUACGUUGCUGGGAAACUCUGCAACUUUGUCAUUGACCUUGAACUGUCGUGGCUCCGAGAUUCGGGGUGACUGGUCGGCGCCCGAUAUCUCGAGGGAAGUUAACCGUUAGAGGGAGAUUAUAAAUAGCGCAUCUCACCGGCGGGUGUUGCUUAGUCUUCCAGCGUCAGCCGAUGGCACAGGACGUCCAGAAGGUCCUUUUGAUGAAGGAUCCUUGCUAGAAAGAUCGUACCCUUAAGCUUAUAUUAUAAGAAGAUAUUGCAUCAAAUUUAGUCAUACGCCUAUCAUCAUCUGAAGAUCCAAGACGUCUAAGAACUUCUAUCAAGGCAAAACACAGUGUUUUGCUUUUCGUCUGAAGGAAUGGCGAACAAUAUUCGAAGAUUAGUUUCAAUCAUGUGGCUAUGGGGCCUCUGCGUUGGUCAAAUUGUGGUAGAGCCACCGACUGAAAUUGAGGGACUCAAUGUGACAGCUCUAGAAUGUGGUAAACAUGAUCCAACAAACAAGGCUAUUGUGAAACUGGAAAUUGAUUGUGAUGAAAAAAUAUCAACUAUAAGGAAUGACAUAACUGCACUUCGCGGAUCUAUCAAAAGAGAUUGUGAUGAAAAUAUGUCAGCAAUAAGGAAUGACAUAAACGCGCUUCGUGAGUCUAUAAAAAAAGAGAUCUCGUCCAUCACGCAGUCUACAAACGUGUUCCAGUGCUGUCAUCUCCAGCAUCAAAGAGUUACUCAGUAAAGAUGAAUGCGCAGGAGCUAACAUCUGCCAUGCCAACGCAGAUUGCAUCGAUGGUGUCCUGAGCUACAGAUGCAACUGCAGACCAGGUUACCAAGGAAAUGGAUUUACUUGCAGUGACAUAGAUGAGUGCUCUACCGGUAGUCACAAGUGUCAUAGCCGAGCUAAUUGUACCAAUACCAUUGGAGGCUACACCUGUCGUUGCAGACCACCAUAUUCAGGCAACGGUUAUACCUGCAACGGUA